AGUGAACGCUGGCGGUAGGCCUAACACAUGCAAGUCGAACGGCAGCACAGUAAGAGCUUGCUCUUACGGGUGGCGAGUGGCGGACGGGUGAGGAAUACAUCGGAAUCUACUUUUUCGUGGGGGAUAACGUAGGGAAACUUACGCUAAUACCGCAUACGACCUACGGGUGAAAGCAGGGGAUCUUCGGACCUUGCGCGAUUGAAUGAGCCGAUGUCGGAUUAGCUAGUUGGCGGGGUAAAGGCCCACCAAGGCGACGAUCCGUAGCUGGUCUGAGAGGAUGAUCAGCCACACUGAAACUGAGACACGGUCCAGACUCCUACGGGAGGCAGCAGUGGGGAAUAUUGGACAAUGGGCGCAAGCCUGAUCCAGCCAUACCGCGUGGGUGAAGAAGGCCUUCGGGUUGUAAAGCCCUUUUGUCGGGAAAGAAAAGCAGCAGGUUAAUACCCCGCUGUUCUGACGGUACCCAAAGAAUAAGCACCGGCUAACUUCGUG
rnacentral:rRNA from 1 species